GACGAACGCUGGCGGCGUGCUUAACACAUGCAAGUCGAACGGUAAGGCCCCUUCGGGGGUACACGAGUGGCGAACGGGUGAGUAACACGUGAGCAACCUGCCCUUGACACUGGAAUAACAGUUGGAAACAGCUGCUAAUGCCGGAUAUGACCUUCGGUGACAUCACCUGGAGGUGGAAAGUGCUUAGAGGUCAAGGAUGGGCUCGCGGCCUAUCAGCUAGUUGGUGAGGUAACGGCUCACCAAGGCUUCGACGGGUAGCCGGCCUGAGAGGGCGACCGGCCACACUGGGACUGAGAUACGGCCCAGACUCCUACGGGAGGCAGCAGUGGGGAAUAUUGCACAAUGGGCGCAAGCCUGAUGCAGCAACGCCGCGUGCGGGAUGACGGCCUUCGGGUUGUAAACCGCUUUCAGUUCCGACGAAGCGCAAGUGACGGUAGGAACAGAAGAAGGACCGGCCAACUACGUGCCAGCCGCCGCAGUAAUAC
rnacentral:rRNA from 1 species